UACAGAGGGUGCAAGCGUUGUUCGGAAUUAUUGGGCGUAAAGCGCGUGUAGGCGGCUUUGCAAGUCGGGUGUGAAAGCCCUCAGCUUAACUGAGGAAGUGCGCCCGAAACUGCAGAGCUUGAGUACCGGAGAGGAUGGCGGAAUUCCCCCAAGUAGAGGUGAAAUUCGUAGAUAUGGGGAGGAACACCGGUGGCGAAGGCGGCCAUCUGGACGGAUACUGACGCUGAGACGCGAAAAGCGUGGGUAGCAAACAGG
rnacentral:rRNA from 1 species